GACGAACGCUGGCGGCGUGCCUAAUACAUGCAAGUAGAACGCUGAAGAGAGGAGCUUGCUCUUCUUGGAUGAGUUGCGAACGGGUGAGUAACGCGUAGGUAACCUGCCUGGUAGCGGGGGAUAACUAUUGGAAACGAUAGCUAAUACCGCAUAACAACAGUUGUUGCAUGACAGCUGUUUAAAAGAUGCAAUUGCAUCACUACCAGAUGGACCUGCGUUGUAUUAGCUAGUUGGUGAGGUAACGGCUCACCAAGGCGACGAUACAUAGCCGACCUGAGAGGGUGAUCGGCCACACUGGGACUGAGACACGGCCCAGACUCCUACGGGAGGCAGCAGUAGGGAAUCUUCGGCAAUGGGGGGAAGCCUGACCGAGCAACGCCGCGUGAGUGAAGAAGGGUUUCGGAUCGUAAAGCUCUGUUGUAAGAGAAGAACGGGUGUGAGAGUGGAAAGUUCACACUGUGACGGUAUCUUACCAGAAAGGGACGGCUAACUACGUG
rnacentral:rRNA from 1 species